GACCGCCAGUGAAAAUCGAUUUUCACUGGCGGUUUUAUUACGUCGACCACCAGUGAAAAUCGAUUUUCACUGGCGGUC
rnacentral:pre_miRNA from 7 species